rnacentral:sRNA from 1 species
AAGGUGGCAGAGUGGUUACAGUGUUAUAGAAGGUGGCAGAGUGGUUAUAGUGUUACAGAAGGUGGCAGAGUGGUUAUAGUGUUACAGAAGGUGGCGGAGUGGUUACAGUGUUACAGAAGGUGGCAGAGUGGUUACAGUGUUACAGAAGGUAGCGGAGUGGUUACAGUGUUACAGAAGGUAGCGGAGUGGUUAUAGUGUUACAGAAGGUGGCGGAGUGGUUACAGUGUUUCAGAAGGUAGCGGAGUGGUUACAGUGUUACAGAUAGUGGCCGAGUGGUUAUAGUGUUUCAGAAGGUGGCGGAGUGGUUACAGUGUUACAGAAGGUGGCAGAGUGGUUACAGUGUUACAGAAGGUGGCGGAGUGGUUACAGUGUUACAGAAGGUGGCAGAGUGGUUACAGUGUUACAGAAAGUGGCAGAGU